rnacentral:rRNA from 1 species
CGUAGGGUGCAAGCGUUGUCCGGGAAUUAUUGGGGCGUAAAAGAGCUCGUAGGCGGUCUGUCGCGUCGGCUGUGAAAACUCGGGGGCUCAACCCCGAGCCUGCAGUCGAUACGGGGCAGACUAGAGUGCUGUAGGGGGAGACUGGAAUUCCUGGUGUAGCGGUGAAAAUGCGCAGAUAUCAGGAGGAACACCGGUGGCGAAGGCGGGUCUCUGGGCAGUAAUUGACGCUGAGGAGCGAAAGCGUGGGAGCGAACAGGAUU